ensembl:misc_RNA 7SK 7SK RNA
GGAUGUGAGGGCAAUUUGGCUGCGUCAUCUUGUCACCCCAUUGAUCACCAGGGUUGAUUGGCUGAUCUCCUGGCUAGGCGGGGGCGUCCCCUUCCUCCCUCACCACUCCAUGUGCGUCCCUCCAGAAGCUGCACUGUAGGUCAAAGAGGACGGCCUUCCCCCAAUAGAGACCCACCGGUCUUCGGUGGAGGGUAUAUGAGUAGCUAGUUGUGCUCCCCUGCUAGAAGCUCCAAACAAGCUCUCAAGGUCCCAUAAGACACUUAUCACAUACUUCAUCACACACCUCAGACCCCAAACAAGAGAAAUUCCAAACUAUAUAGCCUUUUGAUAUUC